GGAGAGGUGGCUGAGUGGUCGAAAGCACCGGUCUUGAAAACCGGCGACGGUUUACCCCGUCCCAGGGUUCGAAUCCCUGCCUCUCCGCCA
rnacentral:tRNA from 1 species